UGAUGACUGGCUGCGUUGUAGUUGACGUC
rnacentral:sRNA from 1 species